CAGUCGCCACGGUAAUACGUAGGGGGCAAGCGUUGUCCGGAAUUAUUGGGCGUAAAGCGCGCGCAGGCGGUUCUUUAAGUCUGGUGUAUAAGUGCGGGGCUCAACCCCGUGAGGCACUGGAAACUGGGGAACUUGAGUGCAGAAGAGGAGAGCGGAAUUCCACGUGUAGCGGUGAAAUGCGUAGAGAUGUGGAGGAACACCAGUGGCGAAGGCGGCUCUCUGGACUGUAACUGACGCUGAGGCUCGAAAGCGUGGGUAGCGAACAGGAUUAGAUACCCCGGUAGUCCCUGUCUCUUAUACA
rnacentral:rRNA from 1 species